UGUGGACAGCACACAGUCAGUAGUGCGAAACAGGCAGCUAAAGCGCUGAGUUGGCACACUCGACCAAACUUUGCACGGCUUCUGCGGUUGAGUUUACAUGCCACAACACCUUUUUCCAACUGAACAUUGGCGAUGAUGCUAUGGGCAACAUGAGGUGUACGACUUGUGCGCCAACAACAACACCUUGUAUACAACUGUCCCCACUGCUCCCACCCACUCUGUGACCAAUAAGUUUUCACGCCUAAGCAUUGUUUACGGAACAUUUAACAAUUGCAGCGUCAGCGAAAACAAAAACACAACUCAUUUUAAAUGUAGAGAAGAUGCGGACUUAAAGUGGCUUUAAACAGCCGCUGGACACAUACUUAGUGAGGGGCACUGUCGACCAGUGUAGAGCGGUUGCGGAGGCAGACAUUCGAACGGCGGUAGGACGAAAGGACGAGCCAAGCAAUUGGCUACAUUGUAAGGAUGCGCUGGUGGUGGUGCGACAGAUGGACAUUUGGAGAGACAGAUGAAGAGGCGGACAGUCGGACAGACCGGCGUCGUCUUUGAACUUUUCACAAUGCUCUCGUCUUGGGCUGUCCUGAAACAUUUGUACCACACUUUAUGCAGGACAUUUCCGCGCCGCAUGUCCAGUUCCUGGUUGGAUUCCAAAUGGUGGCUGACUGGCUGAAUGGCUGGCUGGCUGGCUUGCUGGAUAGUUACUUUGCUCGAUUUCGUCUUGGCUCUGUUUAUUUCCGCUUUUCCAUCUGGCUUUGUUUCCUGAUGACCGUCUAUGGCGCGUAAAAAAUCAAUUUACUUUUAUCUGUUUCAGUUGCUGUCUCUUGUCUUGAGAAAUGCCAUGCAAAUCACAACUUUGUAUCUAAUUGCUGCAAUUUGAUAUCGCGUUAACCUUAACAGGCCUUUGUGUCUGUUGUAUGUGUUUAGUUUUGCAUAUAUCGUGCCAAUGAUGUUUAUUUUCAAUGAAUACGAUAUUCCAAAAAUUACUCCUAUAUCGAAUAAUUAGCCACGUUGAAUCACCAAGAAUAUGUGCUCAGCAAAGCAAAUGCUGCAAAUGAAUAAGUUUUAGUUGGCCAUACAGUGCCUCAUGUUUGCAUUCCGCACUGCAGGUCACUGGGUUUAAUUUAUUUGCUUAUUUAGCUUUCGUUGACUUUCGUCUGCCCGGCUCGUACACUCAGCGAAACAUCUCUCUGAUUUUUAGAAAUCUGCCACACCUUGGUGAAGUAUUAUUCCGAAAGUAUAUUUGUAAAUUCUAAUUAUGUUUAUAUAUGUUUACACAGAAAACAGUCGAGGGAAUAAUCUUUUUUACUAGUUACUGAAUUUUUAA
rnacentral:sRNA from 1 species